GAUUCCUCAACAGCACAAAUGCACCAACUGUCACUCUAUGUUCUCCUAGACCUACAGGAGGAGUGUGCAGGUGAUAAUCCAGAGGAGGAAGUGUCAUCUAUCAAGGUGGAGUUCACAGCCAAAAAACACCGUACGUAUUCUAAGAGCACUCCCUUGCUGACAACAAAUCUAAGUGAUGAGAAAGGAGGAACUCUCUUGCCUGCUUUUGUCUGGAGACCCUUCCUGGCUUCAGCUUCCUGA
rnacentral:lncRNA from 1 species